rnacentral:rRNA from 1 species
AUUGAACGCUGGCGGCAGGCUUAACACAUGCAAGUCGAGCGAGCGGCGGACGGGUGAGUAAUGUCUGGGAAACUGCCUGAUGGAGGGGGAUAACUCCUGGAACCGGUAGCUAAUACCGCAUACCAUCAGCUGUGCCCAGAUGGGAUUAGCGAGUAGGUGGGGUACUGGCUCACCAAGGCGACGAUCCCUAGCUGGUCCGAGAGGAUGACCAGCCACACUGGAACGGAGACACGGUCCAGACUCCUACGGGAGGCAGCAGUGGGGAAUAUUGAACAAUGGGCGAAAGCCUGAUGGAGCCAUGCCGCGUGUGUGAAGAAGGCCUUCGGGUUGUAAAGCACUUUCAGCGAGGAGGCGGUACUCGCAGAAGAAGCACCGGCUAACUCCGUGCCAGCAGCCGCGGUAAUAC